rnacentral:rRNA from 1 species
GACGAACGCUGGCGGCGUGCUUAACACAUGCAAGUCGAACGGAGUGGCGAACGGGUGAGUAACACGUGGGUGAUCUGCCUUGCACUUCGGGAUAAGCUUGGGAAACUGGGUCUAAUACCGGAUAUUGCAAGAUGAGCUCGCGGCAUUUCAGCUUGUUGGUGGGGUAAUGGCCUACCAAGGCGGCGACGGGUAGCCGGCCUGAGAGGGUGUACGGCCACAUUGGGACUGGGAUACGGCCCAGAGUCAUACGGGAGGAAGCAGUGGGGAAGAUUGCAAAAUGGGCGGAAGCCUGAUGUAGGGACGACGCGUGGGGGAUGAAGGCCUUCGGGUUGUAAACUCCUUGCGACAGGGACGCGGUACCUGUAUAAGAAGCACCGGCUAACUACGUGCCAGCAGCCGCGGUAAUAC